UUGCAAAAUGAUGUGUCUCCUACUGUAACUUUCCAUUUACUAGUACGAGAACUCGAAGACAUGAAAAUUCUCAAUUCUCUACGAUGUCUAGUAGAUAGAUAGACUAUUUUCAGGAACAAGUAAAUCUCAGGAAUCUUUCUCUCUAUUCACUAUCAUUCCGCGUCUUUAACUUCUAUUAGUUUCUUUUCUUCUUUAAUGCAGUAG
rnacentral:rRNA from 1 species